AGCAGCCGCGGUAAUUCCAGCUCCAAUAGCGUAUAUUAAAGUUGUUGCAGUUAAAAAGCUCGUAGUUGAAUUUCGAGACCGGUUUAUUGGUCGUGCUUUUGUACGUACUGGUAUUAUUGGUUUCUCCUUUCUGACGAAUCUUAAUGCCAUUUAAUUUGGUGUUUUGGGGAAUCAGGACUGUUACUUUGAAAAAAUUAGAGUGUUUAAAGCAGGCUCACGCUUGAAUACAUUAGCAUGGAAUAACGAAAUAGGACGUUUGAUUUUAUUUUGUUGGUUUCUAGGAUCGACGUAAUGAUUAAUAGGGAUAGUUGGGGGCAUUAGUAUUCAAUUGUCAGAGGUGAAAUUCUUGGAUUUAUUGAAGACUAACUACUGCGAAAGCAUUUGCCAAGGAUGUUUUCAUUAAUCAAGAACGAAAGUUAGGGGAUCGAAGACGAUCAGAUACCGUCGUAGUCUUAACCAUAAACUAUGCCGACUAGGGAUCGGAUGAUGUUAAUUUUUAAUGUACUCAUUCGGCGUCCCC
rnacentral:rRNA from 1 species